UAAGGAAUAUUGGUCAAUGGACGCAAGUCUGAACCAGCCAUGCCGCGUGAAGGAUGAAGGCCCUCUGGGUUGUAAACUUCUUUUAUCUGGGAAGAAAUGCAUGCUUUUUAGCGUGUUUGACGGUACCAGAGGAAUAAGCACCGGCUAACUCCGUGCCAGCAGCCGCGGUAAUACGGAGGGUGCAAGCGUUAUCCGGAUUCACUGGGUUUAAAGGGUGCGUAGGUGGGUUGGUAAGUCAGUGGUGAAAUCUCCGUGCUUAACAUGGAAACUGCCAUUGAUACUACUGAUCUUGAAUUUUCAGGAGGUAAGCGGAAUAUGUCAUGUAGCGGUGAAAUGCUUAGAUAUGACAUAGAACACCAAUUGCGAAGGCAGCUUACUACAGGAAUAUUGACACUGAGGCACGAAAGCGUGGGGAUCAAACAG
rnacentral:rRNA from 1 species